rnacentral:rRNA from 1 species
UACGUAGGGGGCAAGCGUUGUCCGGAAUCAUUGGGCGUAAAGAGCGCGUAGGCGGCCCGAUAAGUCCGCUGUGAAAGUCAAGGGCUCAACCCUUGAAUGCCGGUGGAUACUGUCGGGCUAGAGUCCGGAAGAGGCGAGUGGAAUUCCUGGUGUAGCGGUGAAAUGCGUAGAUAUCAGGAGGAACACCGGUGGCGAAGGCGCCUAUCUGGCCCGAUACUGACGCUGAGGCGCGAAAGCUAGGGGAGCAAACGGG